AAGCUAAUCCUCUCUCUUUGUUCUGCGAACUUUUGUGUGGUGAGGAUGUCGCAGUGCAACAUGUCCUCUUCAGAAAGUUGCUUUGUGAUUGCAGUCGUAGUUUCCAGUCUGCCUCGUGAAGGGCCUGAUGAAGCACGUGGCCUCGGAUGAUUCGCGCCAUUGGCGGUUUAGGCUGUUGAAUAUCUAUUUGAUGCAUCGAUUAUAAAUUUUAAUGAACGCAACGGAGGGUUAAGUUGGUGCUUUCACCGAUGGUAAGCGUGUUAGAUGGUGUGGCUUUGUAAGAGAUGUAAGAAGACCAAGAAGUCCAUUUGGUGGUGUACAGUUUGGAACGUGCUCUUCUGCAUGUUACUAAUGUGCAAAUGUAAUUUUAAAACACAAAAUUCAGUAUGUGCUUGUUAGAUGUAUGGAUA